AUGGCCUUCCCUGCCCUGGAUACAACCAGCCACAAACACUUCAGGCACACGGAUAGAAGAAGGCAGCCUAUGGAAUCAUGUCAUAAGGAAAGGAUUGCCAUUUCUCAUGGACUCUGGCUCCCUGGAGCUGAAGAGAUUGAGGAUGAGGAUGGAGACACCCGUGAUCUUGAGUUCAAAAUUAGGUCUCAUUUGAUGCUACUUGAUCUCCCUAGAGGUCUCAGCAGCCUUGGGGGCAAAAUUGAAAUCUAUGGAGAUUGCUAGAAGAUCUUCUCCCCAGAACUAAAUGAGAAUCUAAAUUUAUAGUAAUUCUUUAAGAGGAAAAAUAAACCCAAGGGACUUUAUUUAUUUAUUUUUUGGUAUUUUUUUAAUUGGAGUUCCAUUUGCCAGCAUAUAGUGUAAUACCCCGUGCUCAUCCUGUCAAGUGCCCCCCUCAGUGCCUGUCACCCAGUCACCCCAUGCCCCCCACCCACCUCCCCUUCCACUAACCCCCAAGGGGCUUUAAUAUCUCUCUCUCAUUAUAUAUAUUAUAUAAUCAUAAUCACCUUGAAAUUUAAAAAUCUUGAAUAUUUCUUGAAUAUUAAGAAUUAAGAGAACAAAUUAAUACCAAAUAUUAAUUAUUAAUUCUGAAUAUUAAUACUGAAUAUUAAAAAUUCAGUGACCCCAAAUUUAGCUGAUGUUCAUAGCUAACAUGGAGUUCAAACAAAAUAACCAAACCUUAGGGGAAGAAAAGCCCUCCGUAUGAAUGACCUCAGAAUGGUUGCUGAUUCCCUCCUUUUUCCAGAAGAGAAGCCAGAAGUGAUUGAAACUGUAGUCAAACUGUUAACAUUUCAUCAUGAGCUUUGCCUUCCCUGACAUGGGAAAUAUCAUUUAUGAAAAGAUGCCAGUCUCUAAGGAAUGGGAUAGACUGUGAAAUAUUAAGGAUGAUAAGACUAUGUGUGAUAUUAAUUGAAACAUUUUUGAGAUACAUCUCAUCUCAAGAGAAAUAAUUUCUGUCAUUGCUAGAGUUGCAGCUCACUUUUAUUACACUUAUGGAUACACACACACACACACACACACACUAUUUAUUUAAGUGGUGGAAAUGGAAAACUCAGUACCUAGGGUGUUCGAAAGAUGUUUCCAGGGAAAAAUUUAAAUGUCUUAGAUAUUUCUUAGGUAUUUUAGGGAAAAUCAAUCACGUGAUAAAGUGUUUCAUAUUAUAAUAAUAUAAUGGUUGUCAACUUGAAACUACUUCAGUCAGAAAUUAAAUGAUAAAAGUUUUCCAUUGGAAUUUUUCCGUUGCCACAAGGGAUUCCCCAUUUUCUAUUUGUGAAGAGCAGCUCUUUUUGAAAUCUAAAGUCAAAUUCAGAAUAAAACCCUUCUGAGAGUGAACAGUCUAAAUGUUAUUUGGGAUAAAUAUAGUUGUUGUUCUUGUUCAAACAUAAAAUAUUAAAACGUAUGUUUGCCCAAUAUUUCUGGGCUCCUAAAGCUGAGAGUUUUACUCAGACUAUAUAGAUCAUCAUCAUCAUCAAUCAUCAAUCAAUCAAAAUAGAGGGCAGUGAGAAGGCUUUUAUUUUCUGUGUUAUUAACUUUUUCUUUAGCAAAAUUGAGUCUUCUUUGACUAUUUGAAAUUUCUGUUUUGGAAGCGCUCAUUAUUUUAAGCUUAUUUACAGAAUUUUGUUACUUAGCUUCUAGGAAGUUGUUUGCUAUAACUAUUCUUAUUAGAUGAGUGUUUUUUUGUAUCACUGUAAAAGAUAAUUCAUAGAGAAAGCAGUCUGAUAUAUUCUUGGCUUAUGUGUACAUGUAUGUAGUGUGUGCCUAUGUGUGUGUAUAUUGCAUGUGUGGGUAAUUUCCAUGGGCUAAAAACUAGAAGUGGAAAAUUUAACUUUAUUUAUUGCUGAAUCUUGGUUUUAAGAAUUGCAUCAACAUUUUUAUUAUUUGUAUUUAUUAGAAAUUUCAUUUAUUAUCUUGAUUUUUUUUGUCAGUUAAUUUCUUUUUAGUCUUCUCAUAAACCAUGGAUAAUGAUAACCCACUUUUAUCAGAAAUAAAUGAAAAUAAAGGUGAUAAAACUAGUUUCUUACAAAGUUCUCAAGAGAUGCUAGGUAUUAAUUUUGUUUUGGGAAUUUAAAAUCACAUGUUCCACUUGCCCAGCUCUUCUCAGCAGAGAUACAUUGAAUCUCUAAGUGUCAGAUCCCAGGCAGGUACUGGGGUGUGGUGGUGACUUCCUACUUGGAGCUAAUAGUCCAAUGGUAAAUUUGACUUUAAAGAAAUAUGCUAACAAGUAUGUAAUCAUGCCUGGUCAUAAAAGCUGGAGUAGAAGAGUACUUGUUUUUAGGAGAGGAUGCAGUGGAGAUUUAAUUUGGAUUGUAGGCCAGGGAAUGCCUCUUUGAAGAAUUGACAACCCAUUUCAUAUUAGAUUAUAAGGAAAAGCUGGGCAGGUAAAGAUUGGGUUAGUAGGUCUUCUAGUAGAGGGAAUAGAAUAUUCUGUUACUGUCAGGUCGAAAGAAGUCGUGUCCUGAAGAUAUUGAGUGAUGGUCUAUAUUGGCUAUAGGGUAAUGAACUGGGGGUGGGGUGGUGGUAAAUGAUGGAGGGCAGGGGCAGGUAUAGGCUAGACCACAAUAAAGUUUUGGGAUUUAUUUUAAAUUUGGCUGGAGUUGGUGAGUGGUAUUAAUUGAUUUGAUUAAAGAGUGUAAACCCAAAAUAAUAAGCCAUCUCAUUAGCCAUGCCUGUAUCAUCAUAAACAUUUAAAUAAUUCACAAAAAUACACAAAGGAAACCAAAAUUCAUUGUGGAUCCCAUCAUUCAGAGAAGAUUGCUCUUAACGUUUAGGCAAACUUUCUUUCACGCCAUAUGCACACAUGUUUCAGUUUUAUAUUCAGAUAAGCUAUAUUGUUUUUUCCUCCAUUGAUCUUAAUAAUCACUCAACAUAACUGUGGCCAUUUUUCCAUAUCAACAAUAAGGUACAUCAGUAUGCUUGAUGGCUGCUUAGUUGUCUAUUCUGGUGAAUUAUACUAAUUAGCUUAAUCAAUUCCCUAUUGAUUAGUGUUAAUUAUUUCUGAUUUUUUUUUUUUUUUGCUAACAUACUUAUGUGGUAGGGCAAUCCUUAUGCAUCUUCAUGCAUAGAUAUAUUUCAUGUAUGUGAUUACCUCCUCAUUAAGGUAAAUGUUGGAAAGGGAAAUGCUAAAGAAUUGGUACAUUUUAUGUUUUCAUGUAUAUUGCCAGUCAUUUGGAAUUUAGAGAAUCAUGUAAAGAAGAAUCAGAAUUUUUUCCCCUAAAUCAGUAGCCGAUGGUCUUACUCACUGAAAAAAUAGGAUGGGCUUUUAAA
rnacentral:lncRNA from 1 species